CAAUAGCGUAUAUUAAAGUUGUUGCAGUUAAAAAGCUCGUAGUUGGAUUUGUGGCUGUUGCUGUCCGUUCUUCACUUGUUGUUGAAUUGGUUGGCGUCGCAAUCCUUGGGUGGAUCCUGUGUGGCAUUAGGUUGUCGUGCAGGGGAUGCCCAUCUUUUACUGUGAAAAAAUUAGAGUGUUCAAAGCAGGCUUAUGCCGUUGAAUAUAUUAGCAUGGAAUAAUGAGAUAGGACCUUGGUACUAUUUUGUUGGUUUGCGCACCAAGGUAAUGAUUAAUAGGGACAGUUGGGGGUAUUCGUAUUCCAUUGUCAGAGGUGAAAUUCUUGGAUUUCUGGAAGACGAACUACUGCGAAAGCAUUUACCAAGGAUGUUUUCAUUAA
rnacentral:rRNA from 1 species